rnacentral:rRNA from 1 species
GAUGAACGCUGGCGGCGUGCCUAAUACAUGCAAGUCGAGCGAACAGACGAGGAGCUUGCUCCUCUGACGUUAGCGGCGGACGGGUGAGUAACACGUGGAUAACCUACCUAUAAGACUGGGAUAACUUCGGGAAACCGGAGCUAAUACCGGAUAAUAUAUUGAACCGCAUGGUUCAAUAGUGAAAGACGGUUUUGCUGUCACUUAUAGAUGGAUCCGCGCCGCAUUAGCUAGUUGGUAAGGUAACGGCUUACCAAGGCAACGAUGCGUAGCCGACCUGAGAGGGUGAUCGGCCACACUGGAACGGAGACACGGACCAGACUCCUACGGGAGGGAGCAGUAGGGAAUCUUCCGCAAUGGGCGAAAGCCUGACGGAGCAACGCCGCGUGAGUGAUGAAGGUCUUCGGAUCGUAAAACUCUGUUAUUAGGGAAGAACAAAUGUGUAAGUAACUAUGCACGUCUUGACGGUACCUAAUCAGAAAGCCACGGCUAACUACGUG